rnacentral:rRNA from 1 species
CCCCUAGAUGUUCUGGGCCGCACGCGCGCUACACUGAACAGUUCAACAAGUCUUAACCUUGGCCGAUAGGUCUGGGUAAUCUUUGAACGCUGUUCGUGAUUGGGAUAGACCUUUGCAAUUAUGGGUCUUCAACGAGGAAUUCCUAGUAAACGCAAGUCAUCAGCUUGCAUUGAUUACGUCCCUGCCCUUUGUACACACCGCCCGUCGCACCUACCGAUUGAAUGGUCCGGUGAAAUCUCGGGACGGCGGCUUGGUCGCUUGCGUCCGACUGCUGAAACUUGAUUAAACCAUAUCAUUUAGAGGAAGGUGACGUCGUAACA